GUGAGGAAUUUUCUGCAAUGGGCGAAAGCCUGACAGAGCAAUACCGCGUGAGGGAAGAAGGCUUACUGAGUUGUAAACCUCUGUUACCUAAGGAGGAAGAUCUGACGUUACUUAGGAGACGAAGCAUCGGCUAACUCCGUGCCAGCAGCCGCGGUAAGACGGAGGAUGCAAGUGUUAUCCGGAAUUACUGGGCGUAAAGCGUCUGCAGGUGGUUUCUUAAGUCCACUGUUAAACCUUGAGGCUCAACCUCAAAUCAGCAUUGGAAACUGGGGAACUUGAGUAUAGUAGGGGUAGAGGGAAUUUCCAGUGGAGCGGUGAAAUGCGUAGAUAUUGGAAAGAACACCGAUGGCGAAGGCACUCUACUGGGCUAUUACUGACACUCAGAGACGAAAGCUAGGGGAGCAAAUGGGAUUAGAUACCCGAGUAGUCC
rnacentral:rRNA from 1 species